CCGGGCAGGGCAGCCAGCUGGGGGGAGUCUGGCAGAAACUGGACCUCGAAAGGCUUCCCAGGUGGUUGAGGUGCCACCACGUAUGGAGAACAGGUGUGAAAUCAAAGUCCUGCAGGUAGGUCAGGGCUGGCCUUGCACUUCCUGCUCAGAAAGGUCAAUCAAGGGGACACAGCUCUCCAACCUGAAGAUUCCCCAAGUAAAACCCCGAGAAGUCAAAUCUGGCUCAUCUCUGAGCACCUUUACAGAACUGGUUUACUCGGCCUUCAAGGGUUGAUAGAAACUAAGAACAAAAGUAGAGAACUCCUGCAUCUCUCCUAAGGUCGCUGAAUUCAUCAGCGCGCCUCUCCAGGGGCCGCGUGAGUACGGGGCCCCGAUAAGGGAACGUUUCUGUGGGAACGCCGACUGCAGAGGCUCCGGGGCUGCUCCCUGUUUGCGACUGCGGUCAGUUUCCCCUUCAACUCAGGUCUGCAACACUUCUCUAUCAUCGUUGUUUUCAUUUUAUUUCUUGGCUCAUGGAAUUUCAUUCUUAAUGGAUAACUGUUUGCUGUAACUGACUUUGAACUCUUUAUAAAGUAGAUAACAUUUGCAUAUAGCAAAUUAAUUUUUCAGGGCUCCACUUAUCAUAGAAUUAUGAAUGGAAAAUAAUCUAUGAAAAACAAACACAUGAUAAGUUGAAUACAGUAAAUAUUUAUUAAGGUCAGGAUGCAUGAACAGAAAGAUAAUUUAACAGCAACCAAUUCGGAGUUUAUAGCACUAUCACAUUUUAGCAAACUGAGGACAUUAGGUACACUACGGUGAUUUGUUUCUAAAAAUCCACUAAAUGAUCUAUUACCUGUGCAUAAAGCAUUGUAGAUGUAGUUCAGGAAGUCAGUAGGGAAAGGUGUGACCUCCCUCCCCCUCUCUGCCCAUCCAUCUUCCAGGAAGCCACGGGCUGCUGCUGACCAGACUUGGCACGAGACCUCGAGGCUGCUGCUUUUCCCCCUACAUCAUAACCGAUUUCAAAUGGUGCUAGACAAAAACAGACUCUGAACACCAGGAGAAAUCGGUCAGCCUGUGUAAGAGAUGGGUCCGGUGGUGCUCAGUGGGGUCCACACCUUGACGGUGCAGGUGGCAAGUCUGAUUUCACCUACUCAGCAACUGCAGCUGAUUGUUCCAUGGCGUGCAGGAGCAGGUGGACAGUGCUGGUGUGAUGAGAGAGGCCUUCCGGUCCACGGCCCUCCCGCUGCUGACUGCAAUCAAGUACCCAACCCAGCGCUACCCCAUCACACGCUGAAAGGCCCCACCAACAGGUUCCUGCUGGUGGCUGCCUCGGAGUUUCUACUGACCACCACCCCACCCCUGCACUGUCCCCCUUCCACAACCCAACACACUCAAGAGUGAACUCUGCUUCUCAAGCUCUUCUUUUCUUGAACCAGCUCAGGUGGCAGGGGGAGGGGAGCUGGUCCCAGGGCAGCAGCUCCUCUGCAGGUGGCCUGUGGCUCUGCUGCAAUUCUUACUCCUAAAACACUGAUUUCAAAUGGUGCUAGAUACAAAGAUGGAAAAAUCUAAGCCACCAUGUGAAACCAGCUUCCAGAAGAAGAGGAUCUCACUGAAGAGAGGCGGGAGAUGCGAUCAGAAGACCCAGCCUUUGCCUGAGCAAAAAGAUGUCUUAUUGCAGUUAUACCUGUGACGGGACA
ensembl:lncRNA